CAGUAGCCGCGGGAAUACGUAGGGUGCAAGCGUUAAUCGGAAUUACUGGGCGUAAAGCGUGUGCAGGCGGUUAUAUAAGUCAGAUGUGAAAUCCCCGGGCUCAACCUGGGAACUGCAUUUGAGACUGUAUGACUAGAGUGUGUCAGAGGGGGGUAGAAUUCCACGUGUAGCAGUGGAAUGCGUAGAUAUGUGGAGGAAUACCGAUGGCGAAGGCAGCCCCCUGGGAUAACACUGACGCUCAUGCACGAAAGCGUGGGGAGCAAACAGGAUUAGAUACCCCGGUAGUCCCUGUCUCUUAUAC
rnacentral:rRNA from 1 species